ACUACGGGGUGCAGCAGUGGGGAAUAUUGGACAAUGGGCGAAAGCCUGAUCCAGCCAUGCUGCGUGUGUGAAGAAGGCCUUCGGGUUGUAAAGCACUUUCAGUGGGGAAGAAAGCCUUGGGGCUAAUACCCUCGAGGAAGGACAUCACCCACAGAAGAAGCACCGGCUAACUCCGUGCCAGCAGCCGCGGUAAUACGGAGGGUGCGAGCGUUAAUCGGAAUUACUGGGCGUAAAGCGCGCGUAGGCGGUCUGAUAAGCCGGUUGUGAAAGCCCCGGGCUCAACCUGGGAACGGCAUCCGGAACUGUCAGGCUAGAGUGCAGGAGAGGAAGGUAGAAUUCCCGGUGUAGCGGUGAAAUGCGUAGAGAUCGGGAGGAAUACCAGUGGCGAAGGCGGCCUUCUGGACUGACACUGACGCUGAGGUGCGAAAGCGUGGGUAGCAAACAGGAUUAGAUACCCUGGUAGUC
rnacentral:rRNA from 1 species